rnacentral:rRNA from 1 species
AGAGUUUGAUCCUGGCUCAGGAUGAACGCUGGCGGCGUGCCUAACACAUGCAAGUCGAACGAAGCUUGACGGAUGAUUUCUUCGGAAUGAAACCUGAUAUGACUUAGUGGCGGACGGGUGAGUAACACGUGAGCAACCUGCCUUUCAGAGGGGGAUAACGGCUGGAAACGGUCGCUAAUACCGCAUGAAGUGUUUGGAUGGCAUCAUCUGAACAUCAAAGAUUUAUCGCUGAAAGAUGGGCUCGCGUCUGAUUAGAUAGUUGGUGGGGUAACGGCCUACCAAGUCGACGAUCAGUAGCCGGACUGAGAGGUUGAACGGCCACAUUGGGACUGAGAUACGGCCCAGACUCCUACGGGAGGCAGCAGUGGGGAAUAUUGCACAAUGGGGGAAACCCUGAUGCAGCAACGCCGCGUGAAGGAUGACGGUUUUCGGAUUGUAAACUUCUUUUCUUAGUGACGAAGACAGUGACGGUAGCUAAGGAAUAAGCAUCGGCUAACUACGUGCCAGCAGCCGCGGUAAUACGUAGGAUGCAAGCGUUAUCCGGAUUUACUGGGUGUAAAGGGAGCGCAGGCGGGACUGCAAGUUGGAUGUGAAAUACCGUGGCUUAACCACGGAACUGCAUCCAAAACUGUAGUUCUUGAGUGAAGUAGAGGCAAGCGGAAUUCCGAGUGUAGCGGUGAAAUGCGUAGAUAUUCGGAGGAACACCAGUGGCGAAGGCGGCUUGCUGGGCUUUAACUGACGCUGAGGCUCGAAAGUGUGGGGAGCAAACAGGAUUAGAUACCCUGGUAGUCCACACUGUAAACG